CCUACGGGAGGCUGCAGUGGGGAAUAUUGGACAAUGGGGGCAACCCUGAUCCAGCCAUGCCGCGUGUGUGAAGAAGGCCCUCGGGUUGUAAAGCACUUUCAGUGAGGAAGAACGCCUGGUGGUUAUUACCCAUCAGGAAAGACAUCACUCACAGAAGAAGCACCGGCUAACUCCGUGCCAGCAGCCGCGGUAAUACGGAGGGUGCGAGCGUUAAUCGGAAUUACUGGGCGUAAAGCGCGCGUAGGUGGCUUGAUAAGCCGGUUGUGAAAGCCCCGGGCUCAACCUGGGAACGGCAUCCGGAACUGUCAAGCUAGAGUGCAGGAGAGGAAGGUAGAAUUCCCGGUGUAGCGGUGAAAUGCGUAGAGAUCGGGAGGAAUACCAGUGGCGAAGGCGGCCUUCUGGACUGACACUGACACUGAGGUGCGAAAGCGUGGGUAGCAAACAGGAUUAGAUACCCUAGUAGUC
rnacentral:rRNA from 1 species